UACGUAGGGCGCGAGCGUUGUCCGGAAUUAUUGGGCGUAAAGAGCUCGUAGGCGGUUUGUCGCGUCGGUUGUGAAAACCCAAGGCUCAACCUUGGGCCUGCAAUCGAUACGGGCAGACUAGAGUACUGCAGGGGAGACUGGAAUUCCUGGUGUAGCGGUGGAAUGCGCAGAUAUCAGGAAGAACACCAGUGGCGAAGGCGGGCUCACUGGGCCC
rnacentral:rRNA from 1 species